AAUAAUGCAGUGUUAUCCCAGAUUUACAGUCUAAGCCCCCUUGCUUUUAUUUCUGUAUUUAUAGUAUAAUUUCCGCCCUAAUUUUUAGUGUAAUAUUCAUGCUUCAGCUCUGCAAUUUAUAGGUUUUAGUUUAAUGGGUAAGCUUCAGAAAGUCUCUCGCCAGGACGUUACAUUAGUAUCAUCUUCGGAAUUUGCAUUUGUGUGAGUGCUCUGAUUCUCCCCUUUCUCUUUCUUCAUUGCUGUGGCAAGUGUUUGAGUUUGUUUUUGUUGCUGCUGAACUGGGGUGAACAUCUUCAGUCUCCUGGAUACUUAGCAUUUUGUUUCCGAUUUAUUAUUCUUACUAGUUUCAACUUGUAUGAUAUGUACUUGUUUCUGAAAUUUUAUUAAUGUGCCCACCUUUUCCAAAUUCAUGUGGGCAAACAUGUCUGUUUUCCAGGGGUUCGGUUCUGUUGCGCCUUCUUCGCUUGGUGUAGCUUCGUUUUGCAUUUCUUCCAAUGUCUGCAGCAGA
rnacentral:lncRNA from 1 species